rnacentral:tRNA from 1 species
GGGCCGUUAGCUCAGUGGUAGAGCAGCUGACUCUUAAUCAGCGGGUCCAGGGUUCGAAUCCCUGACGGCCCUCCA